UUUCCGUAGGUGAACCUGCGGAAGGAUCAUUAAUAAUAUUUAAAUCACCGUCUUUUUUCGAAUUAGUUCUACUCUUGAGCUCAAUGUUGUGCUUCUCUCCAGAGUAACACCUACACCAAUUUACAAAUUUAAAAUACUUAAUCUGAAUAACUAUUAUGAUCUCUUAAUUCAAAAUACAACUUUCAACAACGGUAAUCUUAGCUCUCGCUUCGACGAAGAAUGCAAAAGCACUGAAGAGCACACGUCAGUACUCCAGUCAAAAUUGACCACCUCGUAAGC
rnacentral:misc_RNA from 1 species